rnacentral:rRNA from 1 species
CAAAAGCCUGGUCCUGACUUUAAGAUCAGUUGUAGUUUAACUUACACAUGCAAGUCACCGCGCCCCUGUGAGAAUGCCCUUUAUACCCGCUAGGAAAAAAGGAGCGGGCAUCAGGCACCAUUAUUCGCCCAAGACGCCUUGCAAAGCCACACCCCCAAGGGAACUCAGCAGUGAUGAACCUUAAGCUAUGAGCGAAAGCUUGACUUAGUUAAAACUAAAAGAGUCGGUUAAACUCGUGCCAGCCACCGCGGUUAUACGAGAGACUCUAAUUGAUAUCCUACGGCGUAAAGAGUGGUAAGAGAACCCGUACACUAAAGCCAAAUAACUCUCAUGCUGUCAUACGCUAACAGAUAUCACGAAGAACAACAACGAAGGUAGCUUUACAAAACUCAAAACCACGACAGCUAGGACACAAACUGGGAUUAGAUACCCCACUAUGCCUAGCCAUAAACCACGGCGGUUACACUUACAAAAUCGUCCGCCAGGGGACUACGAGCGUUAGCUUAAAACCCAAAGGACUUGGCGGUACCUCAAACCCGCCUAGAGGAGCCUGUUCUAUAACCGAUAACCCCCGUUAAACCUCACCACCCCUUGUCAUCCCCGCCUAUAUACCGCCGUCGCCAGUUUACCUUUUGAAAGAAUAACAGUAAGCAAAAAGGCUCAGCCCCAGAACGUCAGGUCGAGGUGUAGCGUAUGGAGUGGAAAGAAAUGGGCUACAUUCUCUGUCACAGAGCACACGGAAAAAGCAAUGAAACAUGCCUAUAUUUUUGAAGGUGGAUUUAGCAGUAAAAGGAAACAAGUGUGUUCCUUUGAAGACGGCUCUGAGGUGCGCACACACCGCCCGUCACUCUCCUCGAAAACCCCAAAAUUAGUACAUAAAUUUUAAGAAAAAAAAGAGGAGGCAAGUCGUAACAUGGUAAGUGUACCGGAAGGUGCACUUGGAACAAU